rnacentral:rRNA from 1 species
GAUUGAACGCUGGCGGCAUGCUUUACACAUGCAAGUCGAACGGUAACAGGUCUUCGGAUGCUGACGAGUGGCGAACGGGUGAGUAAUGUAUCGGAACGUGCCAGUAGUGGGGGAUAACUACUCGAAAGAGUGGCUAAUACCGCAUGAGAACUGAGGUUGAAAGCGGGGGACCUUCGGGCCUCGCGCUGCUGGAGCGGCCGAUAUCAGAUUAGGUAGUUGGUGGGGUAAAGGCCUACCAAGCCGACGAUCUGUAGCUGGUCUGAGAGGACGACCAGCCACACUGGGACUGAGACACGGCCCAGACUCCUACGGGAGGCAGCAGUGGGGAAUUUUGGACAAUGGACGCAAGCCUGAACCAGCCAUCCCGCGUGCAGGAAGACGGCCCUAUGGGUUGUAAACUGCUUUUCCAGGGAGAGAAACUUACGCACGUGUUGCGUGACUGACGGUACCCUGGGAAUAAGCAUCGGCUAACUCCGUGCCAGCAGCCGCGGUAAUACGGAGGAUGCAAGCGUUAUCCGGAUUCAUUGGGUUUAAAGGGUGCGUAGGCGGGCUAUUAAGUCAGUGGUGAAAUCCUGCAGCUUAACUGCAGAACUGCCGUUGAUACUGAUAGUCUUGAGUUUGGUUAAGGUAGGCGGAAUGUGUAAUGUAGCGGUGAAAUGCUUAGAUAUUACACAGAACACCAAUUGCGUAGGCAGCUUACUGAGCCGACACUGACGCUGAGGCACGAAAGCGUGGGGAUCAAACAGGAUUAGAUACCCUGGUAGUCCACGCCGUAAACGAUGAUUACUCGCUGUUGGCGAUACACUGUCAGCGGCUAAGCAAAAGCAAUAAGUAAUCCACCUGGGGAGUACGGCCGCAAGGUUGAAACUCAAAGGAAUUGACGGGGGCCCGCACAAGCGGAGGAACAUGUGGUUUAAUUCGAUGAUACGCGAGGAACCUUACCUGGGCUUAAAUGUAGAGUGCAUUUUCUAGAGAUAGAAAUUCCCUUCGGGGCUUUCUGCAAGGUGCUGCAUGGUUGUCGUCAGCUCGUGCCGUGAGGUGUCGGGUUAAGUCCCAUAACGAGCGCAACCCUUAUCGUUAGUUGCCAGCUGGUAAAGCAGGGGACUCUAGCGAAACUGCCACCGUAAGGUGAGAGGAAGGUGGGGAUGACGUCAAAUCAGCACGGCCCUUAUGUCCAGGGCUACACACGUGUUACAAUGGCCGGUACAGAGGGCUGCUACCUGGUGACAGGAUGCUAAUCUCGAAAACCGGUCUCAGUUCGGAUCGAAGUCUGCAACUCGACUUCGUGAAGCCGGAUUCGCUAGUAAUCGCGCAUCAGCAACGGCGCGGUGAAUACGUUCCCGGGCCU